UACGGAGGGUGCGAGCGUUGUCCGGAAUCACUGGGCGUAAAGGGCGUGUAGGCGGUUUGUUAAGUCUGGCGUGAAAGCUCUCGGCUAAACCGGGAGAGGUCGUUGGAUACUGGCGAACUAGAGGAUGGUAGAGGCGUGUGGAAUUCCGGGUGUAGUGGUGAAAUGCGUAGAGAUCCGGAGGAACACCAGUGGCGAAGGCGACACGCUGGGCCAUACCUGACGCUAAAGCGCGACAGCAUGGGGAGCAAACGGG
rnacentral:rRNA from 1 species